GGAGUGGAGUGUAAAAACGUCAUCUACCACUGAGCAGUCGAUUUUGGUACAAGCUGGAAUUAAGAAGAAAAACCGUACCAACAGUAACAGGUAUGGCGGAUGGAAGCAAAGAAGGUCCAACAUCGCCUCAGGCAGCCAACGCUCAACUAUUCGGAGUUCUCUCCAGUCUUCUCCAGCAGUUAACAGGGACAGAGUCACCUUAUACUCGUUGCUAGUGGGAGGUGGAGGGUACCUCAUGGAAUUAGUCGAGGUGCGCGCAACAAUCUGGCCAGACACCACAAUUAUAUGAAAAAUGAAGAAGUUAAAAAGGAUCAUUGCAAGCAUUGUGUAUAAAGUUCUUAAUGAAUAUGUAAUUUUUGAUUCUUAAUAGAGCGAUUAAGUGUAUUUUGUAUAAUAACA
rnacentral:misc_RNA from 1 species